AUGGUCUCUCUUGAUCCCACCUUCUCCCGUAUCAACUUCAGGCAUAGCUGCUCGAAUGUAUCCAUGUCCAGUGUAUGCUGCUCUCUCUACUCUGUUAGCACUCUCAAACUUAACCGUGCAUGCUGCUCUCUCUACUCUGUUUUUUGUGGAAUGGUAAAAUCUCAUAGAUAUAUAUUACAUGUUAGUAGAACAACUGUUGAGCUGAGCCUUGGCCUAAUGUAUCGAAAUACAUGUUGUAUUCCUUUCAAGAAGACCAUCGAGCCUCUCCCCAAUACGUACAGAGUAUAUUCUGGGACGACACGAGUAGUUUGUGGUAUUGAUUAG
rnacentral:rRNA from 1 species